CGCCUCGGGCUGCUCGUCGACUCCUCGUAUCACCUGCUUGUCCACCACGCCCCUUGGAGUCGCGAAUCAACAGCCCUCCUCUGCUCUAUCCGUGCUCCUGGAGAGGCUGAGAUUCGUGUUUUUGUUGCGUGUGCUUCCAGCCUGUGUGCAGGUUGAGCUGGUGGUUCAGAUGAUUAAUGGGUUUUUCUUUGUAUGCAUAGAAGGAAAAGGAUAUAGGACAUGCUCUGGCCUUAUAG